AGGGUUUGAUCAUGGCUCAGAGCGAACGUUGGCGGCAGGCUUAACACAUGCAAGUCGGACGAGAAAAUCCCUUCGGGGGUGAGUAAAGUGGCGCACGGGUGAGGAACGCGUAGGUAAUCUACCCUCGGGCGGGGGACAACACUCCGAAAGGAAUGCUAAUACCGCGUAAGACCACACUCACUAAGGUGAGAGGGGUAAAAGGUGGCCUCUUCUUGAAAGCUACCGCCAGAGGAUGAGCCUGCGUCCCAUCAGCUUGUUGGUAAGGUAACGGCUUACCAAGGCUAAGACGGGUAGCUGGUCUGAGAGGAUGAUCAGCCACACUGGCACUGGAACACGGGCCAGACUCCUACGGGAGGCAGCAGUGAGGAAUAUUGGGCAAUGGGCGCAAGCCUGACCCAGCCACGUCGCGUGUGUGAUGAAGGCCUUCGGGUCGUAAAGCACUGUGGGGAGAGACGAAAAAUCUCCGUCCUAAUACGGCGGAGACUUGACGGUACCUCCUUAGCAAGCACCGGCUAACUCUGUGCCAGCAGCCGCGGUAAUACAGAGGGUGCAAACGUUGCUCGGAUUUACUGGGCGUAAAGCGCGUGUAGGCGGACUCGCAAGUCGGUUGUGAAAUCCCUGGGCUUAACCUAGGAACUGCAUCCGAAACUGCCAAACUAGAGUUUUGUAGAGGGUGGUAGAAUUUCAGGUGUAGCGGUGAAAUCCGUAGAGAUCUGAAGGAAUACCAGUGGCGAAGGCGGCCACCUGGACAAUAACUGACGCUCAUGUACGAAAGCGUGGGGAGCAAACGGGAUUAGAUCCCCGGUUGUCCACGCCGUAAACGAUGUCAACUAGCCGACUGGCGCCUUGAGCGCUGGGUGGCGCAGCUAACGCAUUAAGUUGACCGCCUGGGGAGUACGGCCGCAAGGUUAAAACUCAAAUGAAUUGACGGGGGCCCGCACAGGCGGUGGAGCAUGUGGUUUAAUUCGAUGCAACGCGAAGAACCUUACCUACUCUUGACAUCCACAGAAUUUUCCAGAGAUGGAUUAGUGCCUUCGGGAACUGUGAGACAGGUGCUGCAUGGCUGUCGUCAGCUCGUGUUGUGAAAUGUUGGGUUAAGUCCCGCAACGAGCGCAACCCCUAUCCUUAGUUGCCAGCACGUAAUGGUGGGAACUCUAGGGAGACUGCCGGUGAUAAACCGGAGGAAGGUGGGGACGACGUCAAGUCAUCAUGGCCCUUACGAGUAGGGCUACACACGUGCUACAAUGGCGCAUACAAAGGGCUGCAAGCUAGCGAUAGUGAGCGAAUCCCAUAAAGUGCGUCGUAGUCCGGAUUGGAGUCUGCAACUCGACUCCAUGAAGUCGGAAUCGCUAGUAAUCGUAGAUCAGAAUGCUACGGUGAAUACGUUCCCGGGCCUUGUACACACCGCCCGUCA
rnacentral:rRNA from 1 species